UGGGGUGUAGUUCAGUGGUAGCACACUCCCAGCAUGCAGGAGAUCCUGGGUUCAAUCCCCAGCACCCAAA
rnacentral:tRNA from 1 species